rnacentral:rRNA from 1 species
GAUGAACGCUGGCGGCGUGCCUAAUACAUGCAAGUCGAGCGAACGGACGAGAAGCUUGCUUCUCUGAUGUUAGCGGCGGACGGGUGAGUAACACGUGGAUAACCUACCUAUAAGACUGGGAUAACUUCGGGAAACCGGAGCUAAUACCGGAUAAUAUUUUGAACCGCAUGGUUCAAAAGUGAAAGACGGUCUUGCUGUCACUUAUAGAUGGAUCCGCGCUGCAUUAGCUAGUUGGUAAGGUAACGGCUUACCAAGGCAACGAUGCAUAGCCGACCUGAGAGGGUGAUCGGCCACACUGGAACUGAGACACGGUCCAGACUCCUACGGGAGGCAGCAGUAGGGAAUCUUCCGCAAUGGGCGAAAGCCUGACGGAGCAACGCCGCGUGAGUGAUGAAGGUCCUCGGAUCGUAAAACUCUGUUAUUAGGGAAGAACAUAUGUGUAAGUAACUGUGCACAUCUUGACGGUACCUAAUCAGAAAGCCACGGCUAACUACGUA